rnacentral:misc_RNA from 1 species
ACACCUCAACUCUCAUGGUUUGCCAUGAUGAGCUUGGACUCUGGGGGAUUUGCUGGCCCUGCAGUUGGCUCCCCUCAAACAAAUCAGCUUUCCAGUGUUUGGUGGCAUCACGGGUGUGAUAAAUAUCUACGCUUGCGAUUGCCCACCAGGUAACCUUCAGCAACGGAGGUCCGCUGGGGCUCAUAGACGUCUCUCCUUCAGCGAGGACAGCUUUUUGAA